GACGAACGCUGGCGGCGUGCUUAAUACAUGCAAGUCGAACGGAAAGGCCCUGCUUUUGUGGGGUGCUCGAGUGGCGAACGGGUGAGUAACACGUGAGUAACCUGCCCUUGACUUUGGGAUAACUUCAGGAAACUGGGGCUAAUACCGGAUAGGAGCUCCUGCUGCAUGGUGGGGGCUGGAAAGUUUCGGCGGUUGGGGAUGGACUCGCGGCUUAUCAGCUUGUUGGUGGGGUAGUGGCUUACCAAGGCUUUGACGGGUAGCCGGCCUGAGAGGGUGACCGGCCACAUUGGGACUGAGAUACGGCCCAGACUCCUACGGGAGGCAGCAGUGGAGAAUAGUGCACAAUGGGCGGAAGCCUGAUGCAGCAACGCCGCGUGCGGGAUGACGGCCUUCGGGUUGUAAACCGCUUUCGCCUGUGACGAAGCGUGAGUGACGGUAAUGGGUAAAGAAGCACCGGCUAACUACGUG
rnacentral:rRNA from 1 species